GACUUUCCUUGACAUUCACAAUUAAGGUGUGUGGUGUGCUCAUAGCUCAUAAGUCAUAACAAAACAACCUCAAGGCUCAAGCACCCAUGAGAGGGAACCACCACCAGCGUGCGGCCCAAGCCUCGUCCCUCACUCCAAACCCUUCCUCUUCUUCCACUCACCGCAAUUUGGGCCCGCCAAACCCCCGCAGGCCCGCCCGGAGGACUCCAGGCCCACAACACCACCACCACCGCCAGCCCAACUUCCAAUUCCGCGUCGUCAACAAUCCCCAACCGCUUCCUUCCUCCGUCCAGGAUGUAAACGCUGAUGUCACCGAUCGCGUAGCUAGCUCAGGCAAGGCCGAGGAAGGAGACGCUGAUGAUGACUCUGAUGCUGAUGCUGAUGGUGAUGUUCAGGCUAGGCUUGGUAAGUUGUUCAGUAGAAUCGAGGAACCUGAAUUGUCCGAGGAGCAGAUCAGAAUCAAUGAUCAAUUGCAGCAAGAUGAGAUGCUUGUGGUGGAGUCAAUUUAUGGAGAAAACGUUUUCAGCCUUGAGAGAUGGAAAGAUUUGCGCUGUUUUCAGAUACAUAUACACAUUGAUGUUUUGGGUGAAAUUCCAAUCCUUGCUAAGCUGAACUCUCUUAAUCAACUUGAGACUGUAAACAGCAAUUCAGACGAGUUCUUAUACACUUUCAAAGUUCAAUAUCUUCCACCGAUUGUUUUGACGUGUUUAUUACCUAAGUCGUACCCAAGCCACCAAAAACCUAUUUUUACACUCUCUGUUAAGUGGUUGGAACCCCUGAAGAUUACAAGUCUGUGCUCUAAGUUGGAUUCAAUAUGGGCCGAACAACAGGGGCAGGAAGUAAUUUACUCUUGGGUAGAAUGGUUACAUGGUUGUUCUCUUUCUCAUCUGGGAUUUGAUGAGGGAAUCACACUCGGGCCUUAUGGCAUGAAUCAUGUCCGGGAUGAGCGUGUUGUUUCAGGAGCUGAAUGCAUUGAUGUUGAUAUUCCUUUUUUACAAAGUUACAAUGAUCAGAGACACCAUGAGAACUUCCUUAAAGAAUUGCAUCAAUGUAACAUUUGCUUUAGUGAAUUUGCUGGUAAUGAGUUUAUCCGGUUACCAUGUAAGCACUUUUUUUGCCUCAAGUGCUUGCAGACCUUUGCCCAGAUACAUGUAAAGGAAGGCACCGUUAGUAAUCUUCAGUGUCCUGAAGCAAAAUGUGCUGUUAUGAUUCCACCUGGCCUUUUAAAACACUUGCUGGAUGACACAGAUUAUGAGCGCUGGGAAUCCAUGAUGUUGGAAAAAACACUUGCGUCAAUGUCUGAUGUUGUUUAUUGUCCAAGAUGUGAAACACCAUGUAUAGAGGAUGAAGACCAGCAUGCUCAAUGUCCAAAAUGCUAUUUUAGCUUUUGUACCCUUUGCAGGGAACGACGCCAUGUUGGCAUAGCAUGCAUGACACUAGAUAUGAAGCUUCAGAUUUUGCAGGAUCGUCAAAAUUCGACUCAGUUAAAGGCAGAUCAAAAGCGUAAGGAACUUGAGAAGAUUAAUGAAAUGCUCAGUAUGAAGGAAAUUCAUCGUGAUUCCAAGUUGUGCCCUUCUUGUGACAUGGCAAUUUCUCGAACUGAAGGUUGUAACAAAAUGAAAUGCGGUAAUUGUGAACAAUACUUCUGUUACCGCUGCAACAAAGCACUUGAUGCAUCAGACCCAUAUGGACAUUUUAGGGAUGGUUCAUGUGAAUUGUUCCCACGAGAAAUGGUUGAUUCCUGGCAAGAGCGUAUAAAUCAUCGCCAGGCGGUGGGACAAUUACAGGCUGAGCUCUUUCCUCAAUGUGGCUUGGCAUGUCCUAACUGUCGUCAAUUUAAUGCAAAGAUUGGAAAUAAUAAUCACUUGUUUUGCUGGGCAUGCCAAAGCCAUUACUGCUACUUCUGCAAAAAAAUUGUUAGGCGCGGCACUAAGCAUUAUGGACCCAAGGGCUGCAAACAGCACAGUGAGGGAUAGUAUAAGCACAAUGUCUUAAGAGUGUUUUUAUUUUUUAUUUUUGGCAUUGUGAAAUGCAACAAGUUUUAAUAGGUUCUUCUAGAUUGAUGAAGCUACCGUGAUUAAUGCAAAAGGCGGAAAUUAUUUGCUAAAUGUGAGUUUCAAUUGUAUUUUGUAGCAAUAUAAAAUAAAUAUAAAUAGGAUGUGUAUUACAUUUGAAUUCUAGAAGAGGAAGAGAAUAAAAGGGUUCAAUUUUACGGCUGAAAAGUAAAUCUGAAUCAAUUUUUUUUCUUUUUU